ACGGGAGGCAGCAGUGGGGAAUAUUGCACAAUGGGGGAAACCCUGAUGCAGCGACGCCGCGUGAGCGAAGAAGUAUUUCGGUAUGUAAAGCUCUAUCAGCAGGGAAGAAAAUGACGGUACCUGACUAAGAAGCUCCGGCUAAAUACGUGCCAGCAGCCGCGGUAAUACGUAUGGAGCAAGCGUUAUCCGGAUUUACUGGGUGUAAAGGGAGCGUAGACGGAACAGCAAGUCUGAUGUGAAAGGCGGGGGCUCAACUCCUGGACUGCAUUGGAAACUGUUGAUCUUGAGUGUCGGAGAGGUAAGCGGAAUUCCUAGUGUAGCGGUGAAAUGCGUAGAUAUUAGGAGGAACACCAGUGGCGAAGGCGGCUUACUGGACGAUCACUGACGUUGAGGCUCGAAAGCGUGGGGAGCAAACAGGAUUAGAUACCCUGGUA
rnacentral:rRNA from 2 species